GUGGGUUGAAGACUUGACACCCAGUUGGUGGCGCUGUUGGGAAGCAGUGAAAACCUAGGAGGCGGGGCCUAGUUAGAGGAAGUGAGGUCACGGGGCAUGCCUAGGAGAGGACAUUCCAACCGAGGCAACCCUUCAUUGCGCUCCGCUUCCUGGCUGCCAUAAAGUGAGUGGGUUUGUUUCACCAAGUGCGCUCCGCCACAGGGACAAAGGUCCAAGUGGUCAUGGACCGAAAUCUCUGAAACCACGACCAAAGGUACUUUCUCCGUAUAUUAUCCUGUACAGUCUUCUAGAUACCACUGCCAUCACUACAUCUAAAGAGGAAGAACUGAGGGCUCAAAGAGGUUAAAGGAUGUACCCAGAAUGUGAAGAAUUAAGACUGGAUUGCUCAACAUGCACACGAUACAGCCCAUCUGUACGGCCGCUGUGCAUAAAGCAACUGUGCUUGGUAUGUGACCCCAUCAACCCUAGAUGGUGUCUUCCCUGCUAGAUGUGACCUGAUUUAAUGUGCUAUCACUCAGAGACAGGUUUCUUUUCUCUUCCAAAGCAUGCAAUUUAGAAUGUAUACAGCAACAUCAUUACAGCUGUUAUUUUACAAAAGACACACUCCAAAUGGAAUCCUAUGGACAAUUCUGCCAUGACGAACAUCUGUCUGGUGUCUGUUUUCUUACUUGUGACAGAGAAGGGGAAAUAAACCGAUAAUUUUCUUCCUGAUGAAAGUCUCACUGGAGGUAUGCCGAGGAAGCCAUACCGCACGCUGUAUGUUUCUUGCUAAGGGAGACUUGAAUCACGGUGGUGGCCAUGAAGUGUGUGUGUGGCCCUGCAUGAUGCAGAUACCAGCAGACAGAUGACAGCAGGGAGCGUCUGGAGAAGGAUGACAUUUGCUGACCGUCAACAGAAGAAAGAAAGUGACCCCUCCUGUCAGGACAGCCAGCAAAAAAUAGAUUGUGGGGUUCCUGAAUGUCAGCAGGUUUGAUGAAAAAGCAAGCAACUAUUAGUUGAGUCUCUUUCCUAAUGCUUGGCCAUCUAAGACUGGGUUUGGUGUUGGUACUGAGGUUCAGGUUGAAAUUUAACAAAUGGCAUUCCAGUUUCUCUCAAUUUUCGAAAUUGUCAUAAUUCAAUUUCUGUAGCAUUAAUACAUGUUUAUCCCAAAAUUCACAAAACCUCAGCUGGCAACAUGAAAGGAGAUAGUUUUCACCUAUGGUAACUUAGUUGAGACCACUUCAGACUUGUACUAAAUUCAACCAACACUGGUUUCCGGGAGUAGACGGAGGGCAAACUGACCCUGUAGUCGAUCUCUUGUAUCCCAUGCUUGGCUCUGAUGGAAGGAAAUAUUAGACAGGUGGGACACAGGUGUGGGACAGAAGAAGUCCUGCUUUACUUAAGCCAGUUGGGUCAUUCACUAUAUAUUCAUACUAAUAAAGAAAAAGAUCAUCUGUGUA